rnacentral:rRNA from 1 species
UACGUAGGGUGCAAGCGUUGUCCGGAUUUAUUGGGCGUAAAGAGCUCGUAGGCGGUUUGUCGCGUCGGAUGUGAAAACCCAGGGCUCAACCCUGGGCCUGCAUUCGAUACGGGCAGACUAGAGUAUGGCAGGGGAGACUGGAAUUCCUGGUGUAGCGGUGAAAUGCGCAGAUAUCAGGAGGAACACCGGUGGCGAAGGCGGUUCUCUGGGCAUGUCCUGACGCUGAGGAGCGAAAGUGUGGGGAGCGAACAGG